GAAGAUAGAGGCGCAUUUGACAAUAGUAGGUAUUCUGAUGCUAGCAGCAGCGUUUGAGGAAUGUCGAAAGGGGAUAAUGCCGAAGGAAAUUAUUUUUACUGCAAAAUUUUUCCUGGUUAUCAGUGUUAACAGCCUGAUGACUGUCAUUGGUAAUUCCGAUGGAGAACUAAUGGAGAGCUAUC
rnacentral:ncRNA from 1 species